rnacentral:snRNA from 1 species
GUGCUCACUUUGGCAGCACAUAUACUAAAAUUGGAACAAUACAGAGAAGAUUAGCGUGGCCCUUGUGUAAGGAUGACAUGCAAAUUCAUAAAACAUUCCAUGAAACA